rnacentral:rRNA from 1 species
UACCAGCACCCCGAGUGGUCGGGACGUUUAUUGGGCCUAAAGCGUCCGUAGCCGGUUCUACAAGUCUUCCGUUAAAUCCCCCUGCUUAACAGAUGGGCUGCGGAAGAUACUAUAGAGCUAGGAGGCGGGAGAGGCAAGCGGUACUCGAUGGGUAGGGGUAAAAUCCGUUGAUCCAUUGAAGAACACCAGUGGCGAAGGCGGCUUGCCAGAACGCGCUCGACGGUGAGGGAUGAAAGCUGGGGGAGCAAACCGG